AUUGAACGCUGGCGGCAUGCCUUACACAUGCAAGUCGAACGGCAGCACGGACUUCGGUCUGGUGGCGAGUGGCGAAACGGGUGAGUAAUGUAUCGGAACGUACCUUUCAGUGGGGGAUAACGUAGCGAAAGUUACGCUAAUACCGCAUAUUCUGUGAGCAGGAAAGCAGGGGAUCGCAAGACCUUGCGCUGAUUGAGCGGCCGAUAUCAGAUUAGCUAAGUUGGUGGGGUAAAAGGCCUACCAAGGCUACGAUCUGUAGCGGGUCUGAGAGGAUGAU
rnacentral:rRNA from 1 species